UGCCAGCCUCCGCUGUACUCCUGAUUGUGCAAUCGUUACUCGGAAUCACUGGGCGUAAAGAGCGUGUAGGCGGGUUAAUAAGUCAGAUGUGAAAGCCAAUAGCUCAACUAUUGAAUUGCAUUUGAUACUGCAUCGCUAGAGUAUAGGAGAGGGAAGUGGAAUUUCUGGUGUAGGAGUGAAAUCCGUAGAGAUCAGAAGGAACACCGGUGGCGAAGGCGACUUCCUGGACUAUUACUGACACUGAGGAGCGAAAGCGUGGGGAGCAAACAGGAUUAGAUA
rnacentral:rRNA from 1 species